GACGAACGCUGGCGGCGUGCUUAACACAUGCAAGUCGAACGGAAAGGCCCUGCUUUUGUGGGGUGCUCGAGUGGCGAACGGGUGAGUAACACGUGAGUAACCUGCCCUUGACUUUGGGAUAACUUCAGGAAACUGGGGCUAAUACCGGAUAGGAGCUCCUGCUGCAUGGUGGGGGUUGGAAAGUUUCGGCGGUUGGGGAUGGACGCGCGGCUGAUCAGCUUGUUGGUGGGGUAGUGGCUUACCAAGGCUUUGACGGGUAGCCGGCCUGAGAGGGUGACCGGCCACAUUGGGACUGCGAUACGGCCCAGACUCCUACGGGAGGCAGCAGUGGGGAAUAUUGCACAAUGGGCGGAAGCCUGAUGCAGCAACGCCGCGUGCGGGAUGACGGCCUUCGGGUUGUAAACCGCUUUCGCCUGUGACGAAGCGUGAGUGACGGUAAUGGGUAAAGAAGCACCGGCUAACUACGUG
rnacentral:rRNA from 1 species